rnacentral:rRNA from 1 species
UCAGGAUGAACGCUGGCGGCGUGCUUAACACAUGCAAGUCGAACGGAGAGCUCAUGACAGAGGAUUCGUCCAAUGGAAUGAGUUUCUUAGUGGCGGACGGGUGAGUAACGCGUGAGGAACCUGCCUUGGAGUGGGGAAUAACAGUCCGAAAGGACUGCUAAUACCGCAUGAUGCAGUUGGGCCGCAUGGCUCUGACUGCCAAAGAUUUAUCGCUCUGAGAUGGCCUCGCGUCUGAUUAGCUAGUUGGCGGGGUAACGGCCCACCAAGGCGACGAUCAGUAGCCGGACUGAGAGGUUGGCCGGCCACAUUGGGACUGAGACACGGCCCAGACUCUUACGGGAGGCAGCAGUGGGGAAUAUUGGGCAAUGGGCGCAAGCCUGACCCAGCAACGCCGCGUGAAGGAUGAAGGCUUUCGGGUUGUAAACUUCUUUUAUCAGGGACGA